CUCCUUUUCCAGCGGCUUGAUGAAUGGUGAAUUCCUCAUCGUCUGAGUUUUCACAAUCUGAUCAUCUAGCAUUGCCUGGAUUUCAUCCAAAGAAGUCAGGAUGGACGCACCAGUGUCUCUGUAUGGCUGAUGCUGGAGAGAAACACCAUCCCAAGCGGUGACCAUGGUGUGCAUGGCCUUCUCCAUGGAAAAUUCCUGAAAGAUACAUAAAAGCGCUGACUGACUCAAACUCAUCCAGUGGCGAUCUCUGAUACCCGGAUGACACAGGACAGAUACUAAAGGUAUAUACUCCUGUACAAUCAUUUAGAACAAAUAAGGCUGUUACUUAUUACGUAUAUACACAUUUUAAACAAUAAUUACACUAGAUACCUUGAAGUCUUUGAUUUGAUCUAGUACAGUGCUGCACAGGGCGACUGUAGGGCUACUGUCACGUUGUUCAUUGGAUCGAGUGGACUUCCUCGUUUCCUGUUCAGCCUUGUUAUUUUUCUGUUGGAAAUACUUAAGCAUCUUGAAGAUCUCCCUGGAGAAUUCAUCCACUUUUACCUCCAUUCCCUCACCAUCCAGUUCCAGAAAAGAACCAUCCAUCCAGCUGUCCGCAGAGAAGAUCAUGUCACUCAUAAGUGGAACUGAUGGAAUUACAUCACGAAAUGCAUACAUCUAAUAUCAGACCUUUUCUCUGCACGCUGCCAUUUGAAUAUGAACCCAAACACCUUCUGGUACUGCUCCACGCUCUCUCUGAUGGUGUCAACUUCAGGAUAAUAUGUUUGUUCCCACUGAUGAAAAACCUCAUCUUUGUGGAUGUCGACAAUGGUUUCCUCGGCCUCGUGAAGAAGCAUCUGAACUGUUCUGACAUCUGCUAUGUACUGUA